AUGGCCAUGGAGCAUCCAGCAAGUGCAGGCUCUGAGCCUUCAGGGAGGGGCGGCAUCAGCCAGCACCAUCGUCUCCUGGGUCUCGUGCCUCUUACUUGGUUGCGGUGUUGUCAGGGCCAGAAUGGGGCAGUUCCGGGUGACAUCCAGGUGUGGUUGCUGACACGGAGCACAGGACGCCCUGCUCCUGUGGUUUGCAGCCCCGGCCUUCUCUUCGAGGAUGCCUCUGCUCUUCUGCCUCACACUUGGAUUGGACCUUCUUCAGCACAGCCAGUGGCUGAGGCUUCCUCCCUGGGGCUCAGUGGAGCAGGACAGAUGCUGCAUCAAACUCUUCCAUUGGGUUCCAGUCUUGUUCCAGUCAUGCCCUUGAGCCUCUAAAGCUCCUAGGUAAGAGACUAGCAGCUGACAGCACUUCCCACUUGAUUUGGGUGGACUCCAGCCUCCCAGCAACAAU
rnacentral:lncRNA from 1 species